CUCUUCUCUCCCGCUUCCCUCGCUGUGAAGAUGGCGCUCUCCAGGGUGUGCUGGGCUCGGUCGGCUGUGUGGGGCUCGGCAGUCACCCCUGGACAUUUCGUCACCCGGAGGCUGCAACUUGGUCGCUCUGGCCUGGCUUGGGGGGCCCCUCGGUCUUCAAAGCUUCACCUUUCUCCAAAGGCAGAUGUGAAGAACUUGAUGUCUUAUGUGGUAACCAAGACAAAAGCGAUUAAUGGGAAAUACCAUCGUUUCUUGGGUCGUCAUUUCCCCCGCUUCUAUGUUCUGUACACAAUCUUCAUGAAAGAAAGCCUUGAGCCGGGCCAUGCUUCUCACAUCUUACCUGCCUCCUCCCUUGUUGAGACAUCGUUUGAAGACUCAUACAACUGUGAUUCACCAACUGGACAAGGCUUUGGCAAAGCUGGGGAUUGGCCAGCUGACUGCUCAGGAAGUAAAAUCGGUAAGAGCUUGAUUGCAACAUCAACCCUCAAUCCUUGGUGUGCUUUUGAGCCUACGGCAGGCUGGAGGUUUACAGGGGCUCCUUGUCUUGUUUGUUAUAUAGAACCCAGCUUCUUUAUUCUCUCACUUCAUUUAUUUAUUUAUGAUUUAUUUUUAUUUAUUUAUUUAUUUUGAGACAGAGUCUCAUUCUGUUGCCCAGGCUAGAGUACAGUGGCACAGUCUUGGCUCCCUGCAACCUCUGCCUCCCGGUUCAAGUGAUCCUCCUACCUCAGCCUCCCAAGUAGCUGGAUUACAGGUGUGCACCACCACGCCCAGCUAAUUUUUUGUAUUUUUAGUAGAGAUGGUUUCACCAUGUUUGCCAGGCUGAUCUCAAACCCCUGGCCUCAAGUGAUCCAUCCACCCAAAGUGCCAAGACUACAGGUAUGAGCUACCGCACCCAGCAUAGUAAUUUA
rnacentral:sRNA from 1 species